rnacentral:rRNA from 1 species
GACUCACGCGGGAAUCUUACCGGGUCCGGACACACUGAGGAUUGACAGGUUAUGGGGCGGGUUGAAUUUCAAUCUCUUCGGGGAUUAAUUUUCUCCCACCUCAAAAAUAUGCUAGUCCUUUCAUGAUUAUGUGAUAGGUGGUGCAUGGCCGUUCUUAGUUCGUGGAGUGAUCUGUCUGCUUAAUUGCGUUUCACUAAAGGCGUCAUUAAUUUUUUGUGCCUGUGUUUGACCCCGCACUUCGGUGCGCGCGCGUCUUUCACACACAAUUACUUUGACGUCUGAAAGCAACGAACGUGACCGUAACCUCUUGUUGCCUUCUCUUCUCUUCGGAGAAUGCUGCUUU